UUUCCGUAGGUGAACCUGCGGAAGGAUCAUUAAAGAAUGCCCCGUUUUUCGAAAUGGGUUCUAUUCCCAAACCGUUUCUACAUACCUUUGUUGCUUUGGCGGGCCGCCUUCGGGCGUUGGCCUCGGCUAACUGUGCCCGCCAGAGGACCCAAACUCGUUUUGUUUAGUGAUGUCUGAGUACUAUAAAAUAGUUAAAACUUUCAACAACGGAUCUCUUGGUUCUG
rnacentral:misc_RNA from 1 species